rnacentral:rRNA from 1 species
AGUGAACGCUGGCGGUAGGCCUAACACAUGCAAGUCGAACGGCAGCACAGGAGAGCUUGCUCUCUGGGUGGCGAGUGGCGGACGGGUGAGGAAUACAUCGGAAUCUACUUUUUCGUGGGGGAUAACGUAGGGAAACUUACGCUAAUACCGCAUACGACCUACAGGUGAAAGCAGGGGAUCUUCGGACCUUGCGCGAUUGAAUGAGGCGAUGUCGGGUUAGCUAGUUGGCGGGGUAAAGGCCCACCAAGGCGACGAUCCGUAGCUGGUCUGAGAGGAUGAUCAGCCACACUGGAACUGAGACACGGUCCAGACUCCUACGGGAGGCAGCAGCGGGGAAUAUUGGACAAUGGGCGCAAGCCUGAUCCAGCCAUACCGCGUGGGUGAAGAAGGCCUUCGGGUUGUAAAGCCCUUUUGUUGGGAAAGAAAUCCAGCUGGUUAAUACCCGGUUGGGAUGACGGUACCCAAAGAAUAAGCACCGGCUAACUUCGUGCCAGCCGCCGCAGUAA